UGCAGUCGAACGGCAGCACGGGGGCAACCCUGGUGGCGAGUGGCGAACGGGUGAGUAAUACAUCGGAACGUGCCCAGUAGUGGGGGAUAGCCCGGCGAAAGCCGGAUUAAUACCGCAUACGACCUACGGGUGAAAGCGGGGGAUCGCAAGACCUCGCGCUAUUGGAGCGGCCGAUGUCAGAUUAGGUUGUUGGUGAGGUAAAGGCUCACCAAGCCGACGAUCUGUAGCUGGUCUGAGAGGACGACCAGCCACACUGGGACUGAGACACGGCCCAGACUCCUACGGGAGGCAGCAGUGGGGAAUUUUGGACAAUGGGGGCAACCCUGAUCCAGCCAUGCCGCGUGCGGGAAGAAGGCCUUCGGGUUGUAAACCGCUUUUGUCAGGGAAGAAAUCUUCCGGGCUAAUACCCUGGGAGGAUGACGGUACCUGAAGAAUAAGCACCGGCUAACUACGUGCCAGCAGCCGCGGUAAUACGUAGGGUGCAAGCGUUAAUCGGAAUUACUGGGCGUAAAGCGUGCGCAGGCGGUUGUGCAAGACAGGUGUGAAAUCCCCGGGCUUAACCUGGGAACUGCACUUGUGACUGCAUAGCUGGAGUACGGCAGAGGGGGAUGGAAUUCCGCGUGUAGCAGUGAAAUGCGUAGAUAUGCGGAGGAACACCGAUGGCGAAGGCAGUCCCCUGGGCCUGUACUGACGCUCAUGC
rnacentral:rRNA from 1 species